UACGUAGGGGGCAAGCGUUGUCCGGAAUUAUUGGGCGUAAAGAGCGCGUAGGCGGUCCGAUAAGUCGGCUGUGAAAGUCAAGGGCUCAACCCAGGAAGUGCAUUCGAUACUGGCAGGCUUGAAUAUGGAAGAGGGUCGCGGAAUUCCCGGUGUAGAGUUGAAAUUCGUAGAUAUCGGGAGGAACACCAGUGGCGAAGGCGGCGACCUGGGCCAAUAUUGACGCUGAGGUGCGAAAGCGUGGGGAGCAAACAGG
rnacentral:rRNA from 1 species